AUGGAUGACAAAGGAAAUUUCAUUGUAGGUGGAAAUUGCAAGAUCGAUUGUUACGCAGAUGCUCUGACGGCGGAAGCGUUAGCACUUAGGUUUGGCCUAGUACUAGCACAAAAUGCGGGUUGCAACCGCCUUAUUAUUAAUUCUGAUAACAUGGAAGUAAUUAACACAAUGAAGAAUGGAGGUCAUUCUGCAGGAGCAGCGACUGCAAUUUUUGAGGAUUGUUUUUUUAUGGCUUGUUUUCCUCUUACUAGCUUUGAGCAUUGUAAUAGAGAAGUGAACAAAGUAGCCCAUUAGCUUGCUAGAGUAGCAAAGAGUUCCAUAACUGAUUGGAUUGAGGAGCCCACGGAAAAUAUUGUAUCUCUUCUUAUAGACGAUGUAACCAUUAUCUCUAAUUAA
rnacentral:rRNA from 1 species